GAUGAACGCUGGCGGCGUGCCUAAUACAUGCAAGUCGAGCGAACGGACGAGAAGCUUGCUUCUCUGAUGUUAGCGGCGGACGGGUGAGUAACACGUGGAUAACCUACCUAUAAGACUGGGAUAACUUCGGGAAACCGGAGCUAAUACCGGAUAAUAUUUUGAACCGCAUGGUUCAAAAGUGAAAGACGGUCUUGCUGUCACUUAUAGAUGGAUCCGCGCUGCAUUAGCUAGUUGGUAAGGUAACGGCUUACCAAGGCAACGAUGCAUAGCCGACCUGAGAGUGUGAUCGGCCACACUGGAACUGAGACACGGUCCAUACUCCUACGGGAGGCAGCAGUAGGGAAUCUUCCGCAAUGGGCGAAAGCCUGACGGAGCAACGCCGCGUGAGUGAUGAAGGUCUUCGGAUCGUAAAACUCUGUUAUUAGGGAAGAACAUAUGUGUAAGUAACUGUGCACAUCUUGACGGUACCUAAUCAGAAAGCCACGGCUAACUACGUG
rnacentral:rRNA from 1 species